UCUCACACUAAAUCCAAAUUCUGGUAAAAUCAGGAUGCUCUUUCCAAGCAGUUAAAUUCACUCUACCACAGGAUUUCUGCUGUUUGGCUCUAAGGUUCUUCCAAAAUCUUGGUCACUUACUGUUUUUUACUCCUCACCUUUCACCAAGCAAAAUGCAUUCUUCAAGCUUGAUGCUCAAAACUGAUUUUUGAUCUAAAAAUACAAAUUCCCCUGUUUUUACCACACCUUGCCAUUGAGAUAAAUACACAACUCACAGUGGUUUUUGGAAAGGCAAUGAGGCUGAAAAAUGCUGUUCGCAUCAAUUCAGCACUGACAGAGCUGGAAUGAAAAUGACAACAACCAGACUCAGAAAUCCCUGUGAUUAAACAGCUCCUCUGGGGAAGGGUGAUGGCAGCCUGUGCCUGCCGAUGUGAUGAUUGACAUACGCUAACACACUCACUGACAGCCCGGAGUCCAGGAUUUGUCAUGAUCAGACCUUGAGUCUAAAGGCCAGUUGUGAAGAACAGGUAAGUUUAGUGAUGUUAUUUAUCAAGAUUACCAUGCACCUCUCAUGGUCUAUGGAAAGGGAGAAUUCUGUUUUGAUUCAGGCAAACAUUUUUCACUCCUACAGAACUGGUAUUUUAUGGCUAAAAUACAGUAAAAUUUUGAAUACUUUUUAAUACACAGCUAUGGUAGAACAAAUGGAAUGUUAGGCUCAGUAAAGUGUAUCUGAACAUAAAGCUCUCAGGCGCUUUAAGGCUGCAGACCCCAGAAUGGCUGUGUAUCCUGCCCAUCUCAUUCCACAUCUGUGUCUGUGUGUGCUAGCCAUUUCCCUGGCCCUUUGUCUCUCUCUCCUCAAUGAUACUGCUGCUAUGGUGAAAAAUAGAGGGAAAGAACAACAGGAUAUUGUCCAGUUCAACUCUGUGUGCCAACAGUGACCAAAUGUUGUUUUCUCCUCGAUUUGCAGAUUCUGGUUGCCUUUUAUUAGUCCUGAGGAAGCCCAAACACAUUCAGAUGUUUUUAAAACUCUUCCAAUUUGUGUGGAAACCUUGAGCCUUGGAGGAGGAAGGUGGUGUCCUGUGCCCCUGCGCAGACAUUCCCGUCCUGGAGUAUGACACUGACUCAUGCAGAGGAAAAGAACAGUUCUGUUGUAAAACACAACAGGAAGACAUCCAGCGGUGUUGUGUGCCAGGAGGACACCUGCAGCGCUGCCGCAGGGGUGGAAUCGAGCCACAGGCUGCAUGGAUAGUGCUGGGAAAACUGCACGGCUGCACAGAUCUGACGCCAAACCAGGGUGCUAUUUUUGGUUUCCGUUCUGCUUUUCUGACACCUAUAGGUAAGCGUGAAGUGCACAGCAGGCUUCUGCAGCAUCUUGCAGAGAGAAGGAUCUGGGAUCACAGUGAGGCAUUCUUGCUUAGCACUCAGGAUAAUUAUAACCCGGGGAUAUGAACUGUAGAUGCGCUGGAGUUGCCAAGACUCUCCGGAGGUGGCUGCGUGCCAGUGCCUGAAUGAGGAGGUACCACCCUGCCAGGACUCCUGGGAGCAGCAGGUAACACCCAGGUAUACUCAUCAGAUGCUUUGGGUGAUUUUUACCAGUGAAUCUGCACAAGGAA